rnacentral:lncRNA from 1 species
UCCUGUCUACAACAACGUUUCUUCCUUGACUGUUGGACCUAGAGGCAUUUAUCUUUUUAAUCAUUUUUUUUCUUUUCUAAACUAUAUAUUCCUGUUAAUUAAGGUUUCUACUUAAAGUGUGAAAUGCAACUUUUUAAUGAUCCAAAUAAAGUACUGUAUAGAUCUGAUUUUAGAACAAGCGAUAUAUGAGUUGCUUUAUAGUACUACUGUUUCCAUGUGUUCAUCAAUAUAAUAUUCACAAGAUAAAACUAUAUCUUGUUAGAAAUACCUCUACUUUUAAUACAUCAACAUGUCUUUUACAUGCGAUGGUUGCUUUUUACGGGUUAAACUCAUGGAAAUUUUUGUCUUAAGACAUGGUUUGUUUAAUUUGAUACUCCAUAAUAAUGGUCAACAUAGAAAAUGUAAGAGAAUUGUGGGAAAACUUAGUUGUUUUAUAGAUGAAAAAUGAUAGAAUUAGGCAAUAAUACAUGAUGGAAAGUAAUAGAUCAUAUCUUUUCACACUCUAAUAUUCUUAAAUAAUCUUAUGUUUCAGCCCUGAAUAAAGUUUAAGUUAAUACUUCAUAUUUUCCAUUCAAGAGAAAUCCUGUUUUAAAAAUUUAUGUUUUUAUGAGAUCAACACAAAAUAGGAUCCGUUAUCUUGAUGUUCUAAAGUGAUUCUAGUAAGAUUUUGAAAAUACUAGUAGAUACCCUAAUGCUCUUAGAUCUAUAUAUUUUGCAGCUAAACUUGAACAUGUUGGCUGAAUUUGUAAAUUUCUUAUAUAUUUUUGGCAGGGCCUGUUCUUCUUGAGGAUUAUCACUUAAUAGAGAAGCUCGCGACUUUUGAUCGUGAGCGGAUACCUGAGCGUGUUGUUCAUGCUAGAGGUGCCAGUGCAAAAGGUUUCUUUGAAGUCACUCAUGAUAUUUCUCAUCUUACCUGUGCUGAUUUUCUCCGAGCGCCUGGGGUUCAAACACCUGUUAUUUGCCGUUUCUCUACUGUCGUCCAUGAGCGUGGAAGCCCCGAGUCCCUUAGGGACAUUCGUGGUUUUGCUGUCAAAUUUUACACCAGAGAGGUAAUUUGCCUCAUCACAUGAACUUACUGCUUUCUUGGAAUGUAUUUGUUCAAUUGUAUUUUCUUAAUUUACUUGUGUAUAUAUCUUACUUGUUUUUAUGAAUCAGGGUAACUUUGAUCUGGUUGGAAACAACGUCCCCGUCUUCUUUAAUCGUGAUGCAAAAUCGUUCCCUGACACGAUUCGUGCACUGAAACCAAAUCCAAAGUCACACAUUCAGGAAUACUGGAGGAUCCUUGAUUUCUUCUCUUUCCUUCCGGAGAGUUUGCAUACUUUUGCCUGGUUUUUCGAUGAUG